rnacentral:misc_RNA from 1 species
UCAAUUUACAGCGGAUUUCGGUCCUGUCUGCACCCUUGUCUUUUGCGUACUAUAUGUUUCCUCGGUAGGCUUGCCUGCCGAUAGGACACUUAUAAACUCUUUUGUAAUUGCAAUCAGCGUCUGAAAAAACUUAAUAGUUA